AGUUGGUCGCUUAACCAACUGAGUCACCCAGGUGCCCACCAGUUGUGUGCUUCUGACUGUAAUGACAAUGGCCAAGUUGCCCUCCAGACAGGCAGCUCCCAUGUAGGAUGGUCCCUGGCUCCCCUCUGCCUCACCAACAUUUACUUUUAUAACAUGUUUUGGUCUUUUCGGUUCUGAUAGGAGAAAGAUAACGUUGUGCUGUAUUUACAUUUCUCUCAUGGUACUGAAGGGGGUGAAACCCAGAGAGGCUGCAGACAAGUUGGAGUCAGAGGGACCUGAGUUCAAAUCCCCACUCUAUCGCUUGCCAUGUUUGCAUGGAAAAUGAGGCUUCCUGGUGGAUGUUUUCACAGCUUAUGUGAGUACAACCAAAUACCAGAUCUCCACUUACCUGCUUGGAGUUCCCUCCAUCAGCACAUGAUUGCUGGCAGGGUGAGUAAGCUCUAUGCCCCAGCAUGGGGCUUGAACUCAUGACCCC